rnacentral:rRNA from 1 species
UACUAGAGUAGCACUCGCAUAUCAAUAAGCGGAGGAAAAGAAACUAACAAGGAUUCCCCUAGUAACGGCGAGUGAAGCGGGAAGAGCUCAAAUUUGAAAUCUUAAAGGGUUUCCCUUUACGAAUUGUAGUUUAAAGAAGUGUUUUCUGUUGAGGUUUUGGUAAAAGUUCUUUGGAAUAGGACAUCAUAGAGGGUGAGAAUCCCGUAUUUGACCUUUACUUUCAACUUUGUGAUACACUUUCAAAGAGUCGGAUUGUUUGGGAAUGCAGUCCAAAAUGGGUGGUAAAUUUCAUCUAAAGCUAAAUAUUGGCGAGAGACCGAUAGCGAACAAGUACCGUGAGGGAAAGAUGAAAAGAACUUUGAAAAGAGAGUUAAACAGUACGUGAAAUUGUCAAAAGGGAAGCGUUUGACACCAGUGUUGUUUUUCUGAAAAUCAAUUAAAGAACUGUUUAUGCUAAGCUGUUUAGACUUUAUCAGCUAUCUGUUUAGUUUUGAGCUUUUCUUUAAUGCACUUUUCAGUUAACAAGUCAACAUCAAUUUCCUUUUGCUGUAAAAAAGCUUGAGGAAGGUGGCUUGAGAUUCGUCUUAAGUGUUUAUAGCCUCUUGCCUAUGCAGUCGGAGAGAUUGAGGUCUGCAGCGUAGAUCCUUCGGGGCUAAAUGCAGUUUGUGCUAAGUUAUAGCAUUUUAUAGACAACUUGUUGACUAUGAUUUGUCUUGUAGCUUACUCGCUUAUGUUAUUUUACCUACGCUUAGGAUGUUGAGCGCAUGUCUCUCUC